rnacentral:rRNA from 1 species
GAGUUUGAUCCUGGCUCAGGACGAACGCUGGCGGCGUGCUUAAUGAAUGCGAGUCGAGCGAGAACCAGUUGCGUGCUUGCGCAAUUCUGGGGACAGCGGCAAACGGGUGAGUAACACGUGGGUAACCUGCCCUGCAGACGGGCAUAACGGUUGGAAACGACUGCUAAUUCCCGAUGGUCUGCAGCUACCUAAGUAGCUGUAGUAAAGGUUUAUUCCGCUGCAGGAUGGGCCCGCGGGCCAUUAGCUUGUUGGUAGGGUAACGGCCUACCAAGGCGACGAUGGCUAGCCGGUCUGAGAGGAUGGUCGGCCACACUGGGACUGAGACAUGGUCCAGACUCCUCCGGGAGUUAGCAUCAGGGAAUCUUGCGCAAUGGGCGAAAGCCUGACGCAGCGACGCCGCGUGAGGGAUGAAGGUCUGCGGAUCGUAAACCUCUGUAAGCAGGGACGAAUGCCCGAUUCGGUCGGGAGUGACGGUACCUGCAGAGUAAGCUCCGGCUAACUACGUGCCAGCAGCCGCGGUAAUACGUAGGGAGCCAGCGUUGUCCGGAUUUACUGGGCGUAAAGGGUGCGUAGGCGGGCCGGUCAGUCGGGUGUGAAAGCUCACGGCUUAACCGUGAAUCUGCAUCCGAAACUGCCGGUCUUGAGUA